GUUAUAUGGUCAAGUGAAGAAGCGCAUACGGUGGAUGCCUUGGCAGUCAGAGGCGAUGAAAGACGUGGUAGCCUGCGAAAAGCUUCGGGGAGUCGGCAAACAGACUUUGAUCCGGAGAUCUCUGAAUGGGGGAACCCACCUAGGAUAACCUAGACCGUGAGGGAAAGGCGAAAAGAACCCCGGAGAGGGGAGUGAAAUAGAACCUGAAACCGUAUGCGUACAAGCAGUGGGAGCCUACUUGUUAGGUGACUGCGUACCUUUUGUAUAAUGGGUCAGCGACUUAUAUUCAGUGGCAAGCUUAACCGUAUAGGGUAGGCGUAGCGAAAGCGAGUCUUAAUAGGGCGUUUAGUCGCUGGGUAUAGACCCGAAACCGGGCGAUCUAUCCAUGAGCAGGUUGAAGGUUAGGUAACACUGACUGGAGGACCGAACCCACUCCCGUUGAAAAGGUAGGGGAUGACUUGUGGAUCGGAGUGAAAGGCUAAUCAAGCUCGGAGAUAGCUGGUUCUCCUCGAAAGCUAUUUAGGUAGCGCCUCAUGUAUCACUCUGGGGGGUAGAGCACUGUUUCGGCUAGGGGGUCAUCCCGACUUACCAAACCGAUGCAAACUCCGAAUACCCAGAAGUGCCGAGCAUGGGAGACACACGGCGGGUGCUAACGUCCGUCGUGAAAAGGGAAACAACCCAGACCGCCAGCUAAGGUCCCAAAGUUGUGGUUAAGUGGUAAACGAUGUGGGAAGGCUUAGACAGCUAGGAGGUUGGCUUAGAAGCAGCCAUCCUUUAAAGAAAGCGUAAUAGCUCACUAGUCGAGUCGGCCUGCGCGGAAGAUGUAACGGGGCUCAAACCACACACCGAAGCUGCGGGUGUCACGUAAGUGACGCGGUAGAGGAGCGUUCUGUAAGCCUGUGAAGGUGAGUUGAGAAGCUUGCUGGAGGUAUCAGAAGUGCGAAUGCUGACAUGAGUAACGACAAUGGGUGUGAAAAACACCCACGCCGAAAGACCAAGGGUUCCUGCGCAACGUUAAUCGACGCAGGGUUAGUCGGUUCCUAAGGCGAGGCUGAAAAGCGUAGUCGAUGGGAAACAGGUUAAUAUUCCUGUACUUCUGGUUACUGCGAUGGAGGGACGGAGAAGGCUAGGCCAGCUUGGCGUUGGUUGUCCAAGUUUAAGGUGGUAGGCUGAAAUCUUAGGUAAAUCCGGGGUUUCAAGGCCGAGAGCUGAUGACGAGUCGUCUUUUAGAUGACGAAGUGGUUGAUGCCAUGCUUCCAAGAAAAGCUUCUAAGCUUCAGGUAACCAGGAACCGUACCCCAAACCGACACAGGUGGUCGGGUAGAGAAUACCAAGGCGCUUGAGAGAACUCGGGUGAAGGAACUAGGCAAAAUGGCACCGUAACUUCGGGAGAAGGUGCGCCGGCUAGGGUGAAGGAUUUACUCCGUAAGCUCUGGCUGGUCGAAGAUACCAGGCCGCUGCGACUGUUUAUUAAAAACACAGCACUCUGCAAACACGAAAGUGGACGUAUAGGGUGUGACGCCUGCCCGGUGCCGGAAGGUUAAUUGAUGGGGUUAGCGCAAGCGAAGCUCUUGAUCGAAGCCCCGGUAAACGGCGGCCGUAACUAUAACGGUCCUAAGGUAGCGAAAUUCCUUGUCGGGUAAGUUCCGACCUGCACGAAUGGCGUAACGAUGGCGGCGCUGUCUCCACCCGAGACUCAGUGAAAUUGAAAUCGCUGUGAAGAUGCAGUGUAUCCGCGGCUAGACGGAAAGACCCCGUGAACCUUUACUGUAGCUUUGCACUGGACUUUGAGCCUGCUUGUGUAGGAUAGGUGGGAGGCUUUGAAGCGUGGACGCCAGUUCGCGUGGAGCCAUCCUUGAAAUACCACCCUGGCAUGCUUGAGGUUCUAACUCUGGUCCGUGAUCCGGAUCGAGGACAGUGUAUGGUGGGCAGUUUGACUGGGGCGGUCUCCUCCUAAAGAGUAACGGAGGAGUACGAAGGUGCGCUCAGACCGGUCGGAAAUCGGUCGCAGAGUAUAAAGGCAAAAGCGCGCUUGACUGCGAGACAGACACGUCGAGCAGGUACGAAAGUAGGUCUUAGUGAUCCGGUGGUUCUGUAUGGAAGGGCCAUCGCUCAACGGAUAAAAGGUACUCCGGGGAUAACAGGCUGAUACCGCCCAAGAGUUCAUAUCGACGGCGGUGUUUGGCACCUCGAUGUCGGCUCAUCACAUCCUGGGGCUGAAGCCGGUCCCAAGGGUAUGGCUGUUCGCCAUUUAAAGUGGUACGCGAGCUGGGUUUAGAACGUCGUGAGACAGUUCGGUCCCUAUCUGCCGUGGACGUUUGAGAUUUGAGAGGGGCUGCUCCUAGUACGAGAGGACCGGAGUGGACGAACCUCUGGUGUUCCGGUUGUCACGCCAGUGGCAUUGCCGGGUAGCUAUGUUCGGAAAAGAUAACCGCUGAAAGCAUCUAAGCGGGAAACUUGCCUCAAGAUGAGAUCUCACUGGGAACUUGAUUCCCCUGAAGGGCCGUCGAAGACUACGACGUUGAUAGGCUGGGUGUGUAAGCGUUGUGAGGCGUUGAGCUAACCAGUACUAAUUGCCCGUGAGGCUUGACCAUAUAACACCCAAACA
rnacentral:rRNA from 1 species